rnacentral:rRNA from 1 species
UUGCAAUGUGCGAAAGCACGACAAGGUUAAUCCGAGUGGUUUCUGCUAAAGAAACCUUUUGUCAGUCCUCGAAACCCUAACGAAUAAGGGGUGGGCAAGUUCUGGUGUCAGCCGCCGCGGUAAAACCAGCACCUCAAGUGGUCAGGAUGAUUAUUGGGCCUAAAGCAUCCGUAGCUCGUUUUGUAAGUUUUCGGUUAAAUCCAUACGCUUAACGUAUGGGCUGCCGGGAAUACUGCAUAACUAGGAAGUGGGAGAGGUAGACGGUACUCGGUAGGAAGGGGUAAAAUCCUUUGAUCUAUUGAUGACCACCUGUGGCGAAGGCGGUCUACCAGAACACGUUCGACGGUGAGGGAUGAAAGCUGGGGGAGCAAACCGG